UACAGAGGGUGCGAGCGUUGUCCGGAAUCACUGGGCGUAAAGGGCGCGUAGGUGGUGGCUUAAGCGUGCGGUGAAAGCUCGGAGCUCAACUCCGAGUCGGCCGUGCGAACUGGGCUCACUGGAGCAUAGUAGAGGCAGGUGGAAUUCCGGGUGUAGCGGCGGGAUGCGUAGAGAUCCGGAAGAACACCGGUGGCGAAGGCGGCCUGCUGGGCUAUGGCUGACACUGAGGCGCGACAGCGUGGGGAGCAAACAGG
rnacentral:rRNA from 1 species